rnacentral:rRNA from 1 species
GACGAACGCUGGCGGCGUGCUUAACACAUGCAAGUCGAACGGAAAGGCCCUGCUUUUGUGGGGUGCUCGAGUGGCGAACGGGUGAGUAACACGUGAGUAACCUGCCCUUGACUUUGGGAUAACUUCAGGAAACUGGGGCUAAUACCGGAUAGGAGCUCCUGCUGCAUGGUGGGGGUUGGAAAGUUUCGGCGGGUGGGGAUGGACUCGCGGCUUAUCAGCUUGUUGGUGGGGUAGUGGCUUACCAAGGCUUUGACGGGUAGCCGGCCUGAGAGGGUGACCGGCCACAUUGGGACUGAGAGAGGGCCCAGACUCCUACGGGAGGCAGCAGUGGGGAAUAUUGCACAAUGGGCGGAAGCCUGAUGCAGCAACGCCGCGUUCGGGAUGACGGCCUUCGGGUUGUAAACCGCUUUCGCCUGUGACGACGCGUUAGUGACGGUAAUGGGUAAAGAAGCACCGGCUAACUACGUG